GGGCGUAUGGUGUAGUGGUAUCACUCAUGCUUUGCAAGAUUGCAUAUUCUUGUGUGAUUCCAAUGUAUGCGGUCCAGGGUUCAAACCCCUGUGCGUCCA